rnacentral:rRNA from 1 species
AGCGAACGUUUGCGGCGGGCUUAACACAUGCAAGUCGAACGAGAAUCCCUUCGGGGAGGAAAGUGGCGCACGGGUGCGUAACACGUGGAUAACCAACCCAUUGGUUUGGGACAACACCGGGAAACUGGUGCUAAUACCAGAUGUGUCGCAGCUGUCUUCAGGCGGUUGCGAGAAAGGCCCGCAAGGGUCGCCAACGGACGGGUCCGCGUCCCAUCAGCUAGUUGGUGAGGUAAUGGCUCACCAAGGCAAAGACGGGUAGCUGGUCUGAGAGGAUGAUCAGCUACACUGGAACUGAGACACGGUCCAGACUCCUACGGGAGGCAGCAGUGGGGAAUAUUGCGCAAUGGGCGAAAGCCUGACGCAGCCACGCCGCGUGAGCGAUGAAGGUCUUCGGAUCGUAAAGCUCUGUGGGGGGAGAAGAAGAAAGCCGGUGAAGAGCCGGCCCUGACGGUAUCCCCUUAGCAAGCACCGGCUAACUCCGUGCCAGCAGCCGCGGUAAAG